rnacentral:rRNA from 1 species
UACGGAGGAUCCAAGCGUUAUCCGGAUUUAUUGGGUUUAAAGGGUGCGUAGGCGGCCUAUUAAGUCAGGGGUGAAAGACGGUAGCUUAACUAUCGCAGUGCCUUUGAUACUGAUGGGCUUGAAUGUACUUGAGGUAGGCGGAAUGUGACAAGUAGCGGUGAAAUGCAUAGAUAUGUCACAGAACACCAAUUGCGAAGGCAGCUUACUAAAGUAUGAUUGACGCCGAGGCACGAAAGCGUGGGGAUCAAACAGG